UGUUUUUAAUCUGAAGUGGAGGACGUGAAGACCAGUAAAGGGAAAAUGGCAGAGUCCAGAGUUCAUACUCAGUUUAAACUCACCUCAGAAGACCAUGUAAGGGCUGAUGUUGGUGAAGAUGUCACACUCCCCUGU